rnacentral:tRNA from 1 species
CGGAACAUAGCUCAGUGGAAGAGCGGAGGACACAUAGUCCUUGACGUCGCUGGUUCGAUCCCAUCUGUUCCGA